rnacentral:rRNA from 1 species
CGGAUUGUAGGCUGCAACUCGCCUACAUGAAGUCGGAAUUGCUAGUAAUCGCGGAUCAGCAUGCCGCGGUGAAUACGUUCCCGGGCCUUGUACACACCGCCCGUCACACCAUGGGAGCCGGUAAUACCCGAAGUCAGUAGUCCAACCACGUGAGGACGCUGCCGAAGGUAGGAUUGGCGACUGGGGUGAAGUCGUAACAAGGUAUC